GUUUCCAUGCUUUGAGCAUGAAGCAUGAGGAGUUGCAGCUAGAGUCUAAGGACAAGGACACACUUAUUGAGAUUCUUGAAAACCGAGUAACAAAGAGACAGAGAUAACCAAGGGUUUCAUCUUCAUCUAGUAUGCCUCAUCCUCUUGUCGCUUGGAAGAAGAUUGUUGAUCAGCUUGUCCUCGAGAAGAUUUAGAUGAAGGCUUCUUUUGAGACCGAGAUCCGAUGCAUUCGAAGGAAGUACGAG
rnacentral:lncRNA from 1 species